rnacentral:rRNA from 1 species
CCUACGGGUGGCAGCAGUGAGGAAUAUUGGUCAAUGGGCUUACGCCUGAACCAGCCAAGUCGCGUGAGGGAAGACUGCCCUAUGGGUUGUAAACCUCUUUUGUCAGGGAGCAACGCCGGCUACGUGUAGCCGGACUGAGAGUACCUCAAGACAAAGCAUCGGCUAACUCCGUGCCAGCAGCCGCGGUAAUACGGAGGAUGAGAGGGUUAUCCGGAUUUGUUGGGUUUAAAGGGUGCGUGGGGGGAAUGCCAAGGCAGCGUGAAAAUCGCGGGGCUCAACCUCGGUCCGCCGUUGAAACUGGCGUUCUUGAGUGGGCGAGAGGUAUGCGGAAUUCGUGGUGUAGCGGUGAAAUGCAUAGAUAUCACGAAGAACUCCGGUGGCGAAGGCAGCAUACCGGCGCCCAACUGACGCUGAGGCACGAAAGCGUGGGUAUCGAACAGGAUUAGAUACCCCAGUAGUC